CUACAUGGUCACCCCGGCCUGCCCACGCGAGAGAGCGCAUGCAAACGCUUGAGGAGACGCGAGCGGCGAAUGGUGGGAAGGGACCGGGAGCCGACCAGACCGGGAAGAGGAGUGGAGAUGGAUGGAGAGUGUUCCAGCCCCUAUUUAAGGUGUAACCGCUGUGGUGUAACAACUAACUCCCAUGACAGGGACUGCUGUCUCACUUGGACUUGAUACAAGAAGAGGACAGAUUUGGUCUUCAAAGUUUUGAGACAGGGUUUCUACAUAGCCCUGGCCAUUUUGGAAGUCACUAUGUAGACUAGGCUCACAGAGAUCUUAUCUGCCUGCCUCUUCCUCCUGAGUUCUGGGGUUAAAGGCAUGUGCUACCACACCUGCAGAAGAAGUUAACAUUUAAAUUCCUGGACUUUGAGUAAAGCAUAUCAGCCAUUGUGAUGUGGAUUGGUGUCAUUUAAUCAAUUGAGGGGCUAAUUAGAAUGAAGAAGCUGGUCUGCCCUGAGCACAUGGAAUUCUCCAGAAGACGGUCUUUGAAUAUCAUUGUCAACACUGGCUUUUUCAUUGUCUCUUGGCAGACAGAUGGCUUUUGAAGUCCAUUAGUUCUUUUGAGUCUCCAGGCUGAAUAUCUUGGAACUGACAAGAUACUCCACAAGAGA
rnacentral:lncRNA from 1 species